GCCCCAGUAGCUCAGAGGCAGAGCGAUUGAUUCGUAAUCAAUAGGUCGCAGGUUCAAAUCCUGUCUGGGGCU
rnacentral:tRNA from 1 species